CAAGUCGAACGGGACUCUUCGGAGUCUAGUGGCGGACGGGUGAGUAACGCGUGAGAAUCUGCCUAGAGGAUGGGGACAACCACGGGAAACGGUGGCUAAUACCCAAUGAGCGGAGACGUUAAAGAUUUAUCGCCUCUAGAGGAGCUCGCGUCUGAUUAGCUAGUUGGUGGGGUAAAAGCCUACCAAGGCGACGAUCAGUAGCUGGUCUGAGAGGACAACCAGCCACACUGGGACUGAGACACGGCCCAGACUCCUACGGGAGGCAGCAGUGGGGAAUUUUCCGCAAUGGGCGAAAGCCUGACGGAGCAAUACCGCGUGAGGGAGGAAGGCUCUUGGGUCGUAAACCUCUUUUCUCAGGGAAGAAGAAAGUGACGGUACCUGAGGAAUCAGCCUCGGCUAACUCCGUGCCAGCAGCCGCGGUAAUACGGAGGAGGCAAGCGUUAUCCGGAAUUAUUGGGCGUAAAGCGUCCGUAGGUGGCUCUUCAAGUCUGCUGUUAAAGAGUGGGGCUUAACCCUGCCAAGGCAGUGGAAACUGAAAGGCUAGAGAGCCGUAGGGGUAGAGGGAAUUCCCGGUGUAGCGGUGAAAUGCGUAGAGAUCGGGAAGAACAUCGGUGGCGAAAGCGCUCUACUGGACGGUAUCUGACACUGAGGGACGAAAGCUAGGGGAGCGAAUGGGAUUAGAUACCCCAGUAGUCCUAGCCGUAAACGAUGGAUACUAGGCGUGGCUUGUAUCGACCCGAGCCGUGCCGGAGCUAACGCGUUAAGUAUCCCGCCUGGGGAGUACGCACGCAAGUGUGAAACUCAAAGGAAUUGACGGGGGCCCGCACAAGCGGUGGAGUAUGUGGUUU
rnacentral:rRNA from 1 species